ACAAUAUACAAGGUGCUGCAUGGUUGUCGUCAGCUCGUGCCGUGAGGUGUCGGGUUAAGUCCCAUAACGAGCGCAACCCCUAUCAUUAGUUUGCCAUCAGGUCAAGCCGGGGACUCUAAUGAAACUGCCUACGCAAGUAGUGAGGAAGGUGGGGAUGACGUCAAAUCAGCACGGCCCUUACGUCCGGGGCGACACACGUGUUACAAUGGGUGGUACAAAGGGCAGCUACCUGGCGACAGGAUGCUAAUCUCCAAAACCACUCUCAGUUCGGAUCGGAGUCUGCAACUCGACUCCGUGAAGCUGGAUUCGCUAGUAAUCGCGCAUCAGCCACGGCGCGGUGAAUACGUUCCCGGGCCUU
rnacentral:rRNA from 1 species